rnacentral:misc_RNA from 1 species
UGGCAUACCUCUUCAUUUAUGCGUCAUGACUUGUAUCGUCUUGAGCGUAUUGUGGGUUUCCUGUGUUGCAUACCUAAGUAAUGGUAUCRUUUUGAUUGAUCGAAGUCCCUUUUCAUCUUGUGUUGCCUUAGUGACGCAUGAUGAACCUCGAAGCGGUCUUUAUGUUCCACCACGUUGAUGCUAGUGUUUUGAUGUUGUGUGGCCCAUUGAGUGUUGCUUGGUUUCAUGGAUACAGAACAUGAUUUGGGCAUAGAGUCACUUGUGACUCUUGUUUUGUCCGUUAUCAGAAUUCUUUAUAACGACGGUUCAUGCGCGCCUAGGCUCGUACCUGCGCGAUGUUCUUUGUCGAAGAGGAAUGC